AAUAUUGGGACAUAUAAAAAAAGACAACUCUGUUCCACAGAGUAGCUGUUGACAUUAUAGUUGCGCAGGCACUUUGUUGACUCUAGAGAACCUCGGGCCAAUUGCACAUCCCCGUGGUGGCGAGUUUGCAUGUGGAUGUCAUCUAUAACAACUUUCGUUGCCAGUUUCUGCACCUACCAUGGUGAGCAUGGGUGACAGGGAAUCACGGUUCCAUUCUGUACAGGGACCCUGAGAAAUGGCUACCACAUGCAAGGAAGACAGCAGGCGCGUAAAUGACCCACUCCCGACGCGGGAAGGUAGUGA